CCCCGAUCCCCAUUGCAACCGCCGCUGUCACGGCAACAGAGCAAAGCAAGGCCGCCUCCCGUUGCCAUGGCAGCCAGGAUGGCUGCAGGAUGCUGCAGGGACCCCGCAGCAGUGCAUGGGGAGGGACCCCAACCCCAGAAGGGGCCAUAGCGGUGGGGCCCCCACCCUCCAGCCCCACCAGGGACGCAGGCAGACACUCCGUGUACUAAAAUUACUUUAUUACAGUUGAUUUUUUUUUUUUUUUAACAUUUCCUUUGCUAUGAUACAAAGGAUACUUACAAACAAAAUAUUACAUAUGACCUUAUUUUUUUUCUUUUUCUCUUCUCUUAUUUUCUGACAACUUGGUAACAGCUUUAAAUGCACAAUCUAUACAAUUAAUACAGGUUAUAUAUGAGCUAUAAUGUAUGUUGAACCAGAAGAAUACCAGAAUACUGACAAUAUACUGUACAUUGAGCCUUACCAGUUAGUGCUCGUGGCAUUUUCUACAAGAAGGAAAACGCACACCUGUAGGUUCACUCAUACCAGCUGGUGCUCCCAGCCCCGGCAGCAGGCAGGAGUCGGGUUCCCACUCGGAUCCUUCGCAGCCCACGGCCGUGGGUGAGGGCCUGGAAACCUCAGACCAGUGUUCAUAGCAAAACAGCAGAGAUGCGUGUUCUCUACCUGCAGCACAAAGCCACCAGGCUGGGCGGCCCCGCAGCAGCCGGGCUCUGCUGGACUCUGGAAACCCCACGCAGGCGGCUGUGGGGCUGAGUGAGCUCCUGGUGGGGGUCCCUGGAGAGAAGGGGAAGGGGGGGGAAAGAGGUUGGAAAACACCGGGAUGGAGAGAACGGUUCGUCGCUUGUGCAAAAAGGAAGAAAACGAAACCCCAAACGAAGCGAAAAGAAACCAAACUGAGGAACAUGCUGGAAAUAAUGGAAACGAAUGGAAAGUAAUAUAUAAAAUUAAAAAUAUAAAUAGGAUGUCUGGCUGACUGGUAGAAGAAUAGGUCAUUUAGGUUACAAAAAGGAAUAUACAUUCAAGAGGCUCUGAACCCAGUGGGGUAACUGAUGUUAAACUUGUGUUAAUAGUUAGGCUAGAAUUCUCAAGUUUGUCUUUAAAAUCUUCACAAUACAAGCAAGCUAUUUUAGAAAUGUACACUAUACACACCUCACACAGCACCUCCUACCCUCGGCACACACGGACCGCUACCCGCUCCCACACAACACCACGGGCUGCUCAAUGCCAACGCCGCUGCCCGCGGGUCAGCGCCGGCCCAGCGACCUCCUGGGGCACCCACACGUCACCAAAGGGCCGUCGCCUUUCUGUUAUACACACUUCACUUCGUCACGUUAAUUAUUUACAUCGGGGCUGCCCCCCACCCCACAGCCCG
rnacentral:lncRNA from 1 species